rnacentral:rRNA from 1 species
GAGCGGUAAGGCUUUCACAGAUUAUUUAACCGGAUGAGNCUUGCAAAAGAAAUACNNUCCGCACCGAUGUUUACUGGCUAGUAAACACCCGUUGAAUAAUGUGUGAAAGUACACGAGCGGCGGACGGCUGAGUAACGCGUAGGAACGUACNNNAAACUGAGGGAUAAGCACCGGAAACGGUGUCUAAUACCGCAUAAGCUCUUCGGAGUAAAGCUACGGCGGUUUGGGAGCGGCCUGCGUAUGAUUAGUUUGUUGGUGAGGUAAUGGCUCACCAAGACUACGAUCAUUAGCUGGUCUGAGAGGAUGAUCAGCCAGACUGGGACUGAGAACGGCCCAGACUCCUACGGGAGGCAGCAGUAGGGAAUUUUCCACAAUGGACGAAAGUCUGAUGGAGCAACGCCGCGUGCAGGAGGAAGGCCUUCGGGUCGUAAACUGCUUUUAUCUGUGACGAUUUUGACGGUAGCAGAUGAAUAAGGAUCGGCUAACUCCGUGCCAGCAGCCGCGGUCAUACGGAGGAUCCAAGCGUUAUCCGGAAUUACUGGGCGUAAAGAGUUGCGUAGGUGGCAUAGCAAGCAGAUAGUGAAAGACUACGGCUCAACCGUAGGUACAUUAUCUGAACUGCUAAGCUUGAGUAUGAGAGAGGUAGAUGGAAUUUCCGGUGUAGCGGUGAAAUGCGUAGAGAUCGGAAGGAACACCAGUGGCGAAGGCGGCUACCUGGCCUAAUACUGACACUGAGGAACGAAAGCGUGGGGAGCAAACAGGAUUAGAUACCCUGGUAGUCCACGCCGUAAACGAUGCCAACUAGCUGUUGGUAAUAUGAAUAUUAUUAGUGGCGAAGCAAACGCGAUAAGUUGACCGCCUGGGGAGUACGGCCGCAAGGUUAAAACUCAAAUGAAUUGACGG